rnacentral:tRNA from 1 species
GCCCCGAUGCCGAGUUCGGCGGCGAGCUUGAGGGUGUCGUGCUUGGAGCAGGCCAUGAAGAGCGGCGGGUGCGGGUCCUGCACGGGGCG